CUAAUCACAGAAGUGUUCAUUAGACUCUUUCCAGAAGGUUAAAAGCGACGAUUCACUUAGGUUUCAUCAAGUCAUGGACCGUGGUUACAAGGAAUCACAGGGAGAAGUUACGAUUUUGAUGGAUACAGACCUACCUGAAAAUGAACACUCAAGUACUUAACAGUUAAUAAAUUCCUGAGAGUUCCUGAUUUGGAAAGAAUCCUGACACAUUCAUUAACCAUAGAAGCAUCCAAGGCCCUGGCUACAUUAUCUUAUUAAACGAGUGGUUGUUUUUAUGGCCCAUCAUAAAAGAACACAAGAUCUACUUCCUGUCAUCAAACAGCCACAAUGAUUUGAGAAAACAGAUCCAGUAAGAUGACCUCAAAUUUUGCUUCUGCCAAAUGGGGAAUGUUUGUGACAACUUUUAAGACUUCUGCAAAGAUGCAACACCUCCAACUAUUUUCACUGAGGUACAAACAACUCUAAAAUAACUUUAUAGUGAGAAGAAUCUGCAAGGUGGACCAGUCUGUGUCACAUGCUCCAUCACAGGACAAGCUAUGAUAUACCUCGAGGCAUGUAAGGCAUUGGAAAACUAAAGAACAUCCGAGGAGCACAAUGAAUGUACAUUCCACUUGCUUGGCUUGACUGCUGCUCCUUCCUCCACUGCCUUCCUGCCAGUAUCAUCUCUGCUACCACCGAAAUGCUCUUCUUUAAAUGAUUGCUAAUUAUAACCACUAGAUGUUUCCUUCCUGUGUACAGAUGAAGUCCAAACAUUUUAGCAUUGCACAUAAUAGCAUCUGUGUUCUGAUUUCUCUCUGUCUCUCUGGAUGACAACC